GUUGAACCACCGGUUCUCGUAUGAACACUGAUGUUAAGGAACGUCAAACCUGGAUAGUACCGAGAUGGGUGACUGCUUCGAAAUAGCAGGUGCUGUAAG